rnacentral:sRNA from 1 species
CGGACGCGGCCGCCGCCGUCGCCGCCGUCGCCGCCAUCUGUCACCUGCGCUCCGACAUCAGCAGCUAGUCGCCCGUGUCCCGCCUGUCUCCUCGGCGGAGCCUGCUGCCCGUCCUGCCACCUCUCUGCUCUGUUCUUGUCUCUGCCUUCAUCCCCGAAUGGAUCUGGUAGGAGUGGCAUCGCCUGAGCCCGGGACGGCAGCGGCCUGGGGACCCAGCAAGUGUCCAUGGGCUAUUCCUCAAAAUACAAUAUCUUGUUCUUUGGCUGAUGUAAUGAGUGAACAGCUGGCCAAAGAAUUGCAGUUAGAAGAAGAAGCUGCCAUUUUUCCUGAAGUUGCUGUUGCUGAAGGACCAUUUAUUACUGGAGAAAACAUUGAUACUUCCAGUGACCUUAUGCUGGCUCAGAUGCUACAGAUGGAAUAUGACAGAGAAUAUGAUGCACAGCUUAGGCGUGAAGAAAAAAAAUUCAAUGGAGAUAGCAAAGUUUCCAUUUCCUUUGAAAAUUAUCGAAAAGUGCAUCCUUAUGAAGACAGCGAUAGCUCUGAAGAUGAGGUUGACUGGCAGGAUACUCGUGAUGAUCCCUACAGACCAGCAAAACCGGUUCCCACUCCUAAAAAGGGCUUUAUUGGAAAAGGAAAAGAUAUCACCACCAAACAUGAUGAAGUAGUAUGUGGGAGAAAGAACACAGCAAGAAUGGAAAAUUUUGCACCUGAGUUUCAGGUAGGAGAUGGAAUUGGAAUGGAUUUAAAACUAUCAAACCAUGUUUUCAAUGCUUUAAAACAACAUGCCUACUCAGAAGAACGUCGAAGUGCCCGCCUACAUGAGAAAAAGGAGCAUUCUACAGCAGAAAAAGCAGUUGAUCCUAAGACACGUUUACUUAUGUAUAAAAUGGUCAACUCUGGAAUGUUGGAGACAAUCACUGGCUGUAUUAGUACAGGAAAGGAGUCUGUUGUCUUUCAUGCAUAUGGAGGGAGCAUGGAGGAUGAAAAGGAAGAUAGUAAAGUUAUACCUACAGAAUGUGCCAUCAAGGUAUUUAAAACAACCCUUAAUGAGUUUAAGAAUCGUGACAAAUAUAUUAAAGAUGAUUUCAGGUUUAAAGAUCGCUUCAGUAAACUAAAUCCACGUAAGAUCAUCCGCAUGUGGGCAGAAAAAGAAAUGCACAAUCUCGCAAGAAUGCAGAGAGCUGGAAUUCCUUGUCCAACAGUUGUACUACUGAAGAAACACAUUUUAGUUAUGUCUUUUAUUGGCCAUGAUCAAGUUCCAGCCCCUAAAUUAAAAGAAGUAAAGCUCAAUAGUGAAGAAAUGAAAGAAGCCUACUAUCAAACUCUUCAUUUGAUGCGGCAGUUAUAUCAUGAAUGUACGCUUGUCCAUGCUGACCUCAGUGAGUAUAACAUGCUGUGGCAUGCUGGAAAGGUGAGGAGCACAUUUUGUUAACAUUCAGAUUUAAUUACUGUAAGUAAAAUUUAAAAUGUAAAUACAUCAGUUCAUGUUCUGUAUUGAAAUAGGUCUGGUUGAUUGAUGUCAGUCAGUCAGUAGAACCUACCCACCCUCACGGCCUGGAGUUCUUGUUCCGGGACUGCAGGAAUGUCUCGCAGUUUUUCCAGAAAGGAGGAGUCAAGGAAGCCCUUAGUGAACGAGAACUCUUCAAUGCUGUUUCAGGCUUAAACAUCACAGCAGAUAAUGAAGCUGAUUUUUUAGCUGAGAUAGAAGCUUUGGAGAAAAUGAAUGAAGAUCACGUUCAGAAGAAUGGAAGGAAAGCUGCUUCAUUUUUGAAAGAUGAUGGAGACCCACCACUACUAUAUGAUGAAUAGCACUAAUAUCCACUGCUUCAGUGUUAACACAGCAGUGAUUGUCAGCUGCCAAUAGCAAAUGAAGUUAUGGGUGACUUGAAAUACCAAAACAUGAGGAGUGGGCAAUGGUGCUUCUGUGCUUUUCCCCCUUGUAACCCAUGUGCCAGAUGUGUGGAAUUUUUAGCUCAGCAUUGAGAGAAUAAAAUGUCACUACCUCUCAUCUUAUGAACAGGAUAAUAUAAUUCUUUAACAGCUAUAGGUUAUCUGGCUGAAGUAGACCUAAUUUUAUGUGACUUGUGGUGUAAAAUGUCUUGAUGAUAAUUUUUGAAACUUGGGUAACACUUCCAAAUAUGGGAGGAAAGGACAGAUGUGUUUACAAGGGAGGAUUUUACAACAUACUUGCUUUAUUCACCUCCCUGUUUUGUGUUGCGUCUUUCCUUGAAUAUUUUAUUGGCCCAGAGUUAGCCUUUCUCAAUUAUGUUUCCAGACUGUGGCCAUGAUUCUAAAGGAAAAUGUGUGCUCUUUAGUGGGUAGAACAAAUGGAAAUUUGGUUUCAGAAUGGCUGACAGAAAUCGACAUAAGUCAUGUAAUUUUUGUUGAUAUAUCAUGAAAAUGAACAGAAUUCUUUUUCCAUACUUACAUCUAAGAAAAGGCAUCAUAGGUUUCUGAGAGAGAUAACUAUAUAACAGCUUUUUAAUUAUCCAGUCAACUUUCAGCUUUUCUACAUUUAGGUAAAAUGGUUAGGAUAUAACUCAUGGUGUGGCUAAUCUACAUUUAUCAAUAAAAUGUAAAUUAUCUGAAAGGACAGAAUAUAAGAUUUAACCAUGUUUGAUGUAUUUUAAUUUAGUUAAUGAAGCAAAAUUCAGUUUAUAUUUCACUAGAACUGUGUACUUGAUUGAUUUUCAGAGAAAUAUCACAAAUUAGAAAUAUUAAAUCUAAGGAUGAAAGGUAUAUAUAAAACAAUUUGGGGGCCAGGCACGAUGGCUCAAACCUGUAAUCCCAGCACUUUGGGAGGCCAAGGCGGGUGGAUCACUUGAGGUCAGGAGUUCAAGACCAGCCUUGGCAAAAUGGCGAAACCCUGUCUCUACUAAAAAUACAAAAAUUAGCCGGGUGUGGUGGCACUUCUCUGUAAUCUCAGCUUCUCAGGAGGCUGAGACAGGAGAAUCGCCUGAACCUGGGAGGCGGAGGUUGCAGUGAGCUGAGAUCAUGCCACUGCACUCCAGCCUGGGUGACAGAGGGGAAACUCCGUCUCCAGGAAAAAAAAAAAACAC